UGUUGUGGCGGGCUGUGCGCGGGAGGCCUUGUACCUGCCGGGUCCUAUUCCCCGGUCGACCAACCUGCGUACGGUUCGCCUCCAUU
rnacentral:antisense_RNA from 1 species